AGAGUUUGAUCCUGGCUCAGGAUGAACGCUGGCGGCGUGCCUAAUACAUGCAAGUCGAGCGAACGGAUAAGGAGCUUGCUCCUUUGACGUUAGCGGCGGACGGGUGAGUAACACGUGGGUAACCUACCUAUAAGACUGGAAUAACUUCGGGAAACCGAAGCUAAUGCCGGAUAACAUGUAGAACCGCAUGGUUCUACAGUGAAAGAUGGUUUUGCUAUCACUUAUAGAUGGACCCGCGCCGUAUUAGCUAGUUGGUAAGGUAACGGCUUACCAAGGCAACGAUACGUAGCCGACCUGAGAGGGUGAUCGGCCACACUGGAACUGAGACACGGUCCAGACUCCUACGGGAGGCAGCAGUAGGGAAUCUUCCGCAAUGGGCGAAAGCCUGACGGAGCAACGCCGCGUGAGUGAUGAAGGUCUUCGGAUCGUAAAGCUCUGUUAUUAGGGAAGAACAUGUGCGUAAGUAACUGUGCGCAUCUUGACGGUACCUAAUCAGAAAGCCACGGCUAACUACGUGCCAGCAGCCGCGGUAAUACGUAGGUGGCAAGCGUUAUCCGGAAUUAUUGGGCGUAAAGCGCGCGUAGGCGGUUUCUUAAGUCUGAUGUGAAAGCCCACGGCUCAACCGUGGAGGGUCAUUGGAAACUGGGAGACUUGAGUGCAGAAGAGGAAAGUGGAAUUCCAUGUGUAGCGGUGAAAUGCGCAGAGAUAUGGAGGAACACCAGUGGCGAAGGCGACUUUCUGGUCUGUAACUGACGCUGAUGUGCGAAAGCGUGGGGAUCAAACAGGAUUAGAUACCCUGGUAGUCCACGCCGUAAACGAUGAGUGCUAAGUGUUAGGGGGUUUCCGCCCCUUAGUGCUGCAGCUAACGCAUUAAGCACUCCGCCUGGGGAGUACGACCGCAAGGUUGAAACUCAAAUGAAUUGACGGGGGCCCGCACAAGCGGUGGAGCAUGUGGUUUAAUUCGAUGCAACGCGAAGAACCUUACCUACUCUUGACAUCCAGAGAACUUAGCAGAGAUGCUUUGGUGCCUUCGGGAACUCUGAGACAGGUGCUGCAUGGCUGUCGUCAGCUCGUGUUGUGAAAUGUUGGGUUAAGUCCCGCAACGAGCGCAACCCUUAUCCUUUGUUGCCAGCGGUCCGGCCGGGAACUCAAAGGAGACUGCCAGUGAUAAACUGGAGGAAGGUGGGGAUGACGUCAAGUCAUCAUGGCCCUUACGAGUAGGGCUACACACGUGCUACAAUGGCAUAUACAAAGAGAAGCGACCUCGCGAGAGCAAGCGGACCUCAUAAAGUAUGUCGUAGUCCGGAUUGGAGUCUGCAACUCGACUCCAUGAAGUCGGAAUCGCUAGUAAUCGUGGAUCAGAAUGCCACGGUGAAUACGUUCCCGGGCCUUGUACACACCGCCCGUCACACCAUGGGAGUGGGUUGCAAAAGAAGUAGGUAGCUUAACCUUCGGGAGGGCGCUUACCACUUUGUGAUUCAUGACUGGGGUGAAGUCGUAACAAGGUA
rnacentral:rRNA from 1 species